CCCUUAGAUGUCCUGGGCCGCACGCGUGCUACACUGAUGCAUACAGCGAGCACUUCCCGGCCCCGAAAGGCGGCUGGUAAUCAGCAAUAUGCAUCGUGAUGGGGAUAGUUCUUUGGAAUUCUUGAACUUGAACGAGGAAUGCCUAGUAGGCGCAAGUCAUUACCUUGCGUCGAUUAAGUCCCUGCCCUUUGUACACACCGCCCGUCGCUCCUACCGAUUCGAGUGAUCCGGUGAACCCUUUGGACCGAGGCAGCUUGCUGUUUUGGAAAAUCGAGUAAACCACGUCACUUAGAGGAAGGAGAAGUCGUAACA
rnacentral:rRNA from 1 species